rnacentral:rRNA from 1 species
GACGAACGCUGGCGGCAUGCCUAAUACAUGCAAGUCGAACGAGAGCGACCGGUGCUUGCACUGGUCAAUCUAGUGGCGAACGGGUGAGUAACACGUGGGUAACCCGCCCAUCAGAGGGGGAUAACAUCCGGAAACGGAUGCUAAAACCGCAUAGGUCUUCGAGCCGCAUGGCUUGAAGAGGAAAAGAGGCGCAAGCUUCUGCUGAUGGAUGGACCCGCGGUGCAUUAGCUAGUUGGUGAGGUAACGGCUCACCAAGGCCGUGAUGCAUAGCCGACCUGAGAGGGUGAUCGGCCACAUUGGGACUGAGACACGGCCCAAACUCCUACGGGAGGCAGCAGUAGGGAAUCUUCCGCAAUGGACGCAAGUCUGACGGAGCAACGCCGCGUGAGUGAAGAAGGUUUUCGGAUCGUAAAACUCUGUUGUUAGAGAAGAACAAGUGCUAGAGUAACUGUUAGCGCCUUGACGGUAUCUAACCAGAAAGCCACGGCUAACUACGUG